rnacentral:sRNA from 1 species
GUCUUUUCGAGGUAGGAGUCGACUCCUGUGAGGUAUGGUGCUGGGUGCAGAUGCAGUGUGGCUCUGGAUAGCACCUUAUGGACAGUUGUGUCCCCAAGGAAGGAUGAGAAUAGCUACUGAAGUCCUAAAGAGCAAGCCUAACUCAAGCCAUUGGCACACAGGCAUUAGACAGAAAGCUGGAAGUUGAAAUGGUGGAGUCCAACUUGCCUGGACCAGCUUAAUGGUUCUGCUCCUGGUAACGUUUUUAUCCAUGGAUGACUUGCUUGGGUAAGGACAUGAAGACAGUUCCUGUCAUACCUUUUAAAGGGUUUUUAAUGACCACAACAAGCAAGCAUGCAGCUUACUGCUUGAAAGGGUCUUGCCUCACCCAAGCUAGAGUGCAGUGGCCUUUGAAGCUUACUACAGCCUCAAACUUCUGGGCUCAAGUGAUCCUCAGCCUCCCAGUGGUCUUUGUAGACUGCCUGAUGGAGUCUCAUGGCACAAGAAGAUUAAAACAGUGUCUCCAAUUUUAAUAAAUUUUUGCAAUCCAUCAAAAAAAAAAAAAAAAAA